rnacentral:misc_RNA from 1 species
GAUGAAGAACGUAGCGAAAUGCGAUAAGUAGUGUGAAUUGCAGAAUUCAGUGAAUCAUCGAAUCUUUGAACGCACAUUGCGCCCUUUGGUAUUCCUUAGGGCAUGCCUAUUCGAGCGUCAUUUAAACCUUCAAGCUAAGCUUGGUGUUGGGUGACUGUCCGCUUCACUGCGGACUCGCCUCAAAAUUAUUGGCGGCCGGUACAUUGGCUUCGAGCGCAGCAGAAACGCGAACUCGGGCCCGUCGUAUUGGCUCCCAGAAGCUAUCUUCACAAUUUUGACCUCGGAUCAGGUAGGGAUACCCGCUGAACUUAAGCAUAUCAAAAGCGGAGGA